rnacentral:rRNA from 1 species
AGGAUCAACGCUGGCGGCGUGCCUAACACAUGCAAGUCGCACGAGAAAGGGUAGCAAUACCUGAGUACAGUGGCGCACGGGUGAGUAACACGUGAAUAAUCUACCUCCGAGUGGGGAAUAACUGAGAGAAAUCUUAGCUAAUACCGCAUAACACUUACGAGUCAAAGCAGCAAUGCGCUUGGAGAGGAGUUCGCGGCAGAUUAGUUAGUUGGCGGGGUAAUGGCCCACCAAGACGAUGAUCUGUAUCCGGCCUGAGAGGGCGCACGGACACACUGGAACUGAAACACGGUCCAGACUCCUACGGGAGGCAGCAGUGGGGAAUUUUGCGCAAUGGGGGAAACCCUGACGCAGCAACGCCGCGUGGAGGAUGAAAUAUCUUGGUAUGUAAACUCCUUUCGAUGGGGAAGAUUAUGACGGUACCCAGUACGAAGAAGCUCCGGCUAACUUCGUGCCAGCAGCCGCGGUAA